GCAGUUGUUCCUGUGGUGUGGGCCAGUGGAAUUCCAAGAAAAUGGACAAGGGCAGAACCUGCAGAAGAGCCCAGGCCUGAGCUGGCUGAGUGUUGGUGUGACCCACAGUGGGUGUCCCCUGCCCUCGGGACAGUCCCCAGAGCUCCCUUUGGCAUCCCCUGGUGAAGGGUGGGAGCUGCCCAGAGCCAGCAGCAUCCAGCUGGAGGAUCCAGGAGGAUGCAGCUGAUGUUGCCUGGGAGUUGAAAACUGAAGUGAUUUUCAAGGUGUUGGCACUUGUUUUCCUGUGUCUUUGGUGAGGUGUUGACUCAGUACCUUUCUUGGAGCUGCUGUUGGAUGAAGAGGUGCCC